UCCUUAGUAGCUCAGAUGGUAAAGCAUCUGCCUGAAAUGCGGGAGACCCGGGUUCGAUCUCUGGGUCGGGAA
rnacentral:tRNA from 1 species